AACUCAGGGCCUUGCACUUGGGAGGCAGGCAGCAGCACCACUGAGCUAAUUCCCCAGCCCCAAGGUCUUUGAGUUUCUUAAUCAGGCUUUGAAUGUAAUCAGAAGUGACUCCCCCCACCAUGACACUGGAGAGAAGAUUUGUAAAAGAGGGAGAAAAUAAGACCAAGAGGAAGGAAGGCACCUUCCUGUCACUACUGAUAUCUAAUGUCUCCCCCAGGCCUCUUGCUCCCAUGGCUAUCAUAAAGAAGCAGAUGGUGAAAACAAGGCUGGGCUCCACCCUGAAAAGGAAAGAAACCCAAUCACUGAGAAGGGUGGUGAACUGGGAGAAGGCUCUGUGAUGAGGCUGGAAGGGCGCGCUAGGCCCACAUCUCGUCCCUUCUGGGCCAUUGUCUCUCUUGGCUCCUUUCACUCUCCUGGUCCCUAUUGAAGGAUCGUGGGAAACUAAUAAAGAAUGGUAAUUAUUGGGCGGAACUGCUGGUGUUUAUUGUCCAUGUUUGAGAAAGUCAAAUCACGAGUUUAAAGCUGUAAAGUGUUAGUGUGUACAUUGACAGCGUGGUACUGUUUCCAGUGAGAAGCAGAAACAGAAACAACUGCCUUAAGUAACAAAGGAGGUUUAAAUUUAAUGUGGAGGAAAAUUCUUAAUUAAAUGUUAUGUGACCUGGGCAAUUUCUGGCUACUCCACCCUGGAAAGUUCACCUAGGCAGCAGUGUUCUCAGGAUUGGUUGUUAUGAGGGUUUCUAAAGUAUGAUCCAUGCGAGAGAGAGGUGCAGAUUGUCUAAAGAACCUCUUCAACUAUUUUAAAGACUGGGAUUCCUUGUUUGAUUUUCUUUUUAGAAGUUUUGUGAAAUAGGAUUAUAGAGUUUGAAAGCCAUUGGAUCUGUUAUCUUUUAUUCGAGCUGUAAGUCAGUGAUCUCAACAAUGUAAUAAUAUCACUUUAUGUUUAUCCACCUCAGAUCUCUCUUCUGUGCUCCAAAAUUGUUUCCUGAACAGUGUACACCCUUACUUCUUAGACACCCUUACUUCUCAUCCCACAGGUGCCGCAAGCUGUGUAGUUUAGAAUGGUUUUGCCUUUCUAAAAUUCACCUCACUUUUCUCCUGCAAGCUGCUUCUUCCCAGGCUGAGGAAAUGUCAACACCACGGAUCCAUCAGCCCCAUCAGAAACUGAGGAGUCAUUGUCAGUCCUUUCCUUUACCUCCCUGCUCACCGGCCAUCCGUCCUGCAGAUUCCACCUCCUCAGAACCACUUGGUCACUGACGUCCCCUCCACUGCUGUUUGAUCACACUUAGAUCCGUGACCCAGUCACUGCACCUGCCUGUGAGAUCUCUCAGCUUCGCCUUGCCUGCUUCCAGUCUCUGCCAUUCUGCCGCCCAAGUAAGUUUCUAAAUAUGGAUGUGAACUCAGCACUCCCUGUUCACUUGCUUUCCUCCUUUCCCACACCCAUCAAGAGUCCAGUCCCCACUGGAGAGUGUGUGGUGCUUCCUGAUCUUGUCCACUCCCUCCCUCACUUCCUUCAGUUCUUGAACCCAGCUCUGUAAACUCUGACCACUUUUUCAAAUAGGCCAAGCCCUUUUGUUGCCUUGGUUGUUUUGAUCUCUUGGCCAAGAAUGUUCCUCUUUCCAUUGCUCGCUCUCCAUGAUUCAGCUCAGUUAUUCUUCUAGGAAGACUUCCCUCAUCCUCUAUCCCCAGCCUGAGGCAGGUGCUCAUGCUGGGAUCUGGAUUACACAGUUACACUCAGCUGUUUACACAGUGCUUUGAUAUACAUAAAGAAUCCCAAAAGCCCAGGUUGGGGAGAUUUGUAUCAACUUUAUAGAUGAGCCUUAAGGGAUUGACAUCCCAGGUGAGGUAGCUGCUGAGUGACAGAUCUGAGUGACAGAUGAUAACCUGUUCCUUGGCAUCUAACCGAGUACUCUGAAGCAGAUUUCUCAGCCAAAAGUUGCCAAGCCAGGAGAAAACAGAAUGAUAUAUUCAGAGUGCUGAAAGAAAAAAACACAUGAGCUAAGAAUACUACAGCAGCAAAGAUAACCUUAAGAAAUAAAGAAGAAAUAACAUUUCUCACAUAAGCAAAAACUGAGGGAAUUCAACAGCACCAGACCAGCCCUAUAUUAAAGGAAUCCUACAUGUAGAAGCAAAGGGACCAUAACUACCCUCGUGAAAACUCAUGAAAAUAUACGUCUCACUGGUAGCUACACAAAUGAGAGAGAGUAAAGAAUCUAACCUUUUUACUACAGAGAACCACCAAACGACAAAGAUUAACAAUAAAAGAAAGAAAGAAAGGAUAAACAAUCAGUAUGCAAUGAAUAUAAUGGCAGGAAUAUAUUAUUCCUGAUCAGUAAUUAUCUUGAAUCUAAAUGGGUUUAAAUUCCAUGAACUAAAAGACAGACUGGAUGAGUGUAUUUAAAAUAACAAGACCCAACUAUCUGUUGUCCACAAGGAACUGACUUCAGCAGUAGAGACACACAGAAUGAAAGCAAAGGGGUGGAAAAGGAUAUUCCACACAAAUGGAAUUCAAACGUAAAUAGCUGUGCAAAAACAAAACAAAAAAACCAACAAACAAAAACAAAAAAUGG